GGGUAGGUCGGGAACCCAGAUAUGCCUGACGAUAGAUGUAUGUUAUGUGAUUAUUAUGGUAUGUGGUACAGUGGGGGAACUCACUAAGCUUUGUGCUUACGUUUUUCAGUUGUUGUUUCAGGUACCUCUUCAGCAAAGGGGAAGGAGCAGGCUCGGUAGCAGCAUAUCACACACACUCUUGUUUCCGCAGUUAUGAGUUUAUUCUGGGAUUGACACUCUGAUAUUUUGGUUGUUUAAAUGUUGUGGAUUUCAAUUUGGUUUUCGAUGUGAAAUGGUUUAAUUAUACAAUUUUUAAUUAUUAAUGAUUUCCAAGUAAUGAUUUAUAAACAAAAUUUUUGGACGUGAAAAUUGGGUCGUUACAAGUUGGUAUCAGAGCCCUGGUUUGAGGGAUUCGGACACACCUUCGGGGGUGUCUGAACUCAAACCGAGGGAUUAAAAGAUUUUCUAAAAGAAAAUGUUUGCUAAAAAUUGAGAAAAGAGUUUUGAGAAAGAACGAAGUGUGUGAUGUGUGCGACCGGCCGAGCUCAAGUAAGUAUUCCCCAAAGUACCCAUACAAGUUUAUGUUAUGUUUAUUAGCUUUUGUAGAACAACAUGCUAGAAUAGGACUAAGGAUCUAGGAGUGAUGCCUUAUGUGCCUGCUUUAUGUGUUUCAGCUGUAUGAGAAUUGCAUGCUAGUAUUGAGUAGACAGCAAGUAGGAUAGCCUGAUUAGGUUAUGCCUGAUGGUUUGAGCUUAGCAUUGUAUGCUAGUACAAUUCCUGUAAGCAGAUAGAGUUGAUUGAGAUUGUUCCCUUAGUUCAAAUGCUGCUUGCUUUGUGCUUUGUGGGGCUCUGAGUGGUGGGAGUUAGCCAUUAGGUGAAUACGUCACGUCACAUGUGAUCAGGGUUGAAUAAUCUUAGAGUGCUGGAUUUGGCCCUAUUGCGCAGCUCUCGUUUGAUUCUAACCGUUGUAGGGAUGAGCCUGUCACUCGAAGGAUUAUCCGAGCCUCACCACAUGUGAUGGUAUUCAGGUAAUGAUUAAUUAGCACUACUAAGAGGCCUUCAGCAGCUGAGGACCUGGUAGGGUGGAGCCUGAGAUUUCCCUAGGGCAAGCCUAGGAUGAGUAUAGCAGUAAUCAGCCGUAGUGGAAGGGAUCUGGUAGAGUCGAGGCAGUCCUUGAAGAAGGUACGGAUAGAUGUGGAAGGUAGUAUGGGCCCGUACUACUGAAAGCAAAGGAUUCGUACCCGAACCAAGGAAGGCCAAGAUAAGACUAGGGAACUUGUAAGUAGUUGUGAUCCCUCAGGAAGUAUCAGUAUCACUAAUGAUUGUUAUUAUGUAUUGCAGAAUGGUGGUACUUCGAUCGAGGCCGAUAGAUGGCGGUUCAAGAGAGGGGUCAGGUUCGGGAUCAGGUUCCGAGCCGGUAGUUGAGGGACUACGCGAGUUCAUCGCGUCAGAGAUCACCAUGGGUAUCCUUGAGUCGACCCCCAUUAUCUUCGGGUCGAUCAAGGAAGGCAUCAUCGAGUUGAUGGAGGAUCGCCUCAGGGCGUCCAGGAGUGACAUGGCAUCUGGCCAGUCGGGAUCUUGCACGCUGUCCUUUAAGGACUUCAGGGGCAGUGGUGCACCAGAUUUCCAAGGGGUGAAAGACCCCAUUGCUGCCAGGCGAUGGAUUGCAGACAUAGAGUCUGCACAGUUGACUAGCUUCUGCCCCGAGGGGUCGAAGGUGAGGUAUGCAGCAGGGUGUUUACGAGACCGAGCCCGAGAUUGGUGGGAGUCAGUGGGUGACUCGUUGGGAGCCUCAGUNNNNNNNNNNNNNNNNNNNNNNNNNNNNNNNNNNNNNNNNNNNNNNNNNNNNNNNNNNNNNNNNNNNNNNNNNNNNNNNNNNNNNNNNNNNNNNNNNNNNNNNNNNNNUACGGGACCGAGCCCGGGAUUGGUGGGAGUCAGUGGGUGACUCGUUGGGAGCCUCAGCUAUCGAGGCUAUGACCUGGUCGGACUUUGUGACCAGGUUCAUGGCAGAGUUUGCGCCGGCUGUCGAGCUUCAACAGCUGGCCAGGGAGUUUUUGGACAUGAGGCAGACGACGGAGACUGUGGUGGAUAUCACCGCCAAGUUCUGGGAGACGGCUUUGUUGGUGCCCCAGUAUGCAGGUGACGAGGAUAUGAGGAGGACCUGUUAUCAUGAUAUGCUACGGGCUGACAUCCGGGAGCAUGUUAGCUUUUCAACUUGCCCUACCUUGGACUCCAGGAUUGCCAGGGCAAGGGAGAGGGAGACAGACUUGGAGCACAUCCGGAAACGCAAGGCAGAAGAGGGUCAGUCAGGAGGGGCUUCGGGGAAGAAGCCCAAGGGAUCAGAUGGUAGGCCGAAAGGUCAGUCAGGACCGAGCCGCUGCGGGAAAUGCGGCAGGACGCAUGUGGGGGCAUGUAGGAUGGGUUCAGUAGGCUGCUACAAGUGCGGCAAGGCAGGGCACUUUAGCAGGGAUUGUACUGCUCCAGUUUCAGCUAUUCAGACAUUGGAGUUGCUGUGUUUUCACUGCAAUCAGAGGGGCCACAAGAAGGCCAAUUGCCCCCAGUUGACAGUUUCAGCGCCAGUGAAGGCGCCAGCUCCAGCGACCCUGUGAAUCACUAAUGGCCGACAGGGCAAGGCAGAGGCGCCGGUGGUGAGGAGCCGGGCAUUUCAGCUGACUACCGAGGAGGCACGCGCCGCACCCGAUGUGGUGACGGGUAUGAUUCUUUUCCCUCUAUUUUAUUUUUAUGAUGCUAUGUUAUUGAUAUGUGCUCUGUGUGCAUUAGGAUCGUUCCAUGUGAACGGCAUCCCAGUUCAGGUUUUGUUCGACUCGGGUGCAUCCCGAUCAUUUGUUUCCCUUGCACUAAGCAAGAAGUUUCCUGAGUCUUCGGGCGAGUUAGAUUGCCCUUUGGAGGUAGAGAUUGCUGAUGAUCGAUCGGUGCGAGCAUCGAUGGUGUUUCGGGAUUGCGUAUUGCGUUUGUUUGAGGAGCGUUAUUUGGUAGACUUGGUUCACAUUCCGUUGCGUGGGAACAAGGUGAUUAUAGGCAUGGAUUGGUUGAGCCCCAAUGGGGCGGUGAUAGAUUGCGCACAUCAGCUAGUGCGAGUCAGGACUCCAAGUGGGGGAGAGUUAGUGAUUCAUGGCGAGAGGCCACAGUGUGGACCCACAGUCUGUUUGGCAGCGAGGGCUAGAUGAUACCUUCAGCAGGGAUGCGCAGGAUAUGUCGCGUACGUUGUGGAUACCCGGGAGGUGGGUAAGGCGACGGUGAGCGAGGUUCUGGUGGUGCGAGAUUUCGCAGAUUUUUUUCCAGAGGAGCUUCCUGGGAUACCUCCGGAGCGACAGGUUGAGUUUAGGAUUGACCUCGUUCCUGGUGCGGCUCCGAUAGCCAAGGCACCAUAUCGGUUGGCUCCUCCUGAGAUGCAGGAGUUGUCUACACAGCUGCAGGAGCUGUUAGACAAGGGAUUCAUUCGACCGAGCAGUUCACCCUGGGGAGCCCCAAUUCUGUUCGUGAAGAAGAAGGACGGGUCGCAUCGGAUGUGUAUAGAUUACCGGGAGCUGAACAAGGUAACGGUGAAGAACCGUUACCCACUCCCGAGGAUUGAUGAUCUCUUUGACCAGUUACAGGGAGCAUCUUGGUUCUCCAAGAUUGAUUUGCGUUCGGGUUAUCAUCAGAUGAGGGUCAGGGAGGAGGAUAUGCAGAAGACCACGUUUCGGACGCGCUAUGGCCAUUAUGAGUUCGUGGUGAUGCCGUUUGGGCUCACCAAUGCUCCUGCCGCGUUCAUGGACCUCAUGAACCGCGUAUGUAGACCGAUGCUGGAUCGGUCUGUGAUAGUCUUUAUCGAUGACAUCUUGGUUUAUUCCAAGACUCAGGAGGAGCAUGAGGAGCAUCUGAGAGAGGUGUUGGAGACCCUGAGGAGGGAGAGCUUGUAUGCCAAGUUCUCUAAGUGUGAGUUUUGGUUGCGCGAGGUGCAAUUUCUCGGACACCUUGUCAACCAGAACGGGAUUCUGGUCGAUCCGGCCAAGGUCAAGGCCGUGAUGAGAUGGGAGGUUCCGAAGUCUCCAUCUGAGAUUUGGAGUUUCCUAGGAUUGGCUGGCUAUUAUCGGAGAUUCAUUCAGGAAUUCUCCAAGAUAGUCGUACCCCUGACGCGGCUGACGAAGAAAGCCGUAGUCUUUCGAUGGGGACCCGAGCAGCAGGCUGCAUUUGAGAUGCUGACACAGAGAUUGUGCGAGGCGCCGAUCUUAACCCUGCCAGAGGGUAUAGAGGAUUUUGUGGUUUAUUGUGACGCGUCCAUUUCUGGGUUGGGCGCGGUACUGAUGCAGAGGGGGCAUGUCAUUGCCUACGCUUCGAGGCAGCUCAAGCCUCACGAGGCGAACUACCCGACGCAUGAUUUGGAGUUGGGGGCGGUGGUUUUUGCCCUCAAGAUUUGGCGGCAUUACCUCUACGGGGUUCGAUGUACCAUCUACACGGACCACAAGAGUUUGAGGUACCUCAUGGAUCAGCCGAAUCUGAACAUGAGGCAGCGUCGGUGGUUGGACGUGGUGAAGGAUUAUGAUUGCGAGAUCCUUUACCACCCGGGGAAGGCCAACGUGGUGGCCGAUGCGCUUAGCCGCAAGGCGGCGCCGAUCAGGGAUAUGUGCAUGAGGAUGACCGUAGUGACUCCCUUGUUGGAGCAGAUUCGGGAGGCCCAACAGGAGGCUAUCAAGGAGGAACAUCGAAAGAGCGAGCGUGUGGUGGGUCAGGUUUCCUCCUUUGAUUAUGAUAGCCGAGGACUAUUGACACUACACCGUAGGGUGUGGGUGCCGUAUCACGGAGGCGUGCGCCAGAUUUUGAUGGAGGAGGCGCACAAGUCCCGAUUCUCUAUUCAUCCCGGGGCGACGAAGAUGUAUAGGGAUCUUCGUCUAGAUUAUUGGUGGCCCUGCAUGAAGCAGGAUGUGGCAUGGUACGUUGAGCGGUGCUUGACCUGCAGGAAGGUCAAGGACGAACAUUAGAGACCGCAUGGCAAGAUGCAGCCAUUGGAUAUUCCACCUGCAGGAAGGUCAAGGACGAACAUCACGAUGGAUUUUAUCACGAAGCUUCCCAGGACUGCACGUGGAGUAGAUUCGAUUUGGGUCAUCGUGGAUCGAUUGACCAAGAGUGCUCACUUUAUCCCGAUUCAGGAGAGCAUAUCGGCCGAGAAAUUGGCCGACAUCUAUAUCAGGGAGAUCGUGGCGCGGCACGGGGUGCCAGUAUCGGUUAUCUCGGACAGGGAUGUGCGUUUUACUUCCAGGUUUUGGAAGAGAUUUCAUGACGAGUUGGGCACUCGUUUGCAUUUUAGCACCACCUUUCACCCGCAGAUGGAUGGUUAGAGCGAGCGGACCAUCCAGACCUUGGAGGAUAUGUUGCGGGCAUGCGUGUUAGAUUUCAGUGGUAGCUGGGAUACCUACCUUCCCUUGGCCGAGUUCUUAUACAACAACAGCUACCACGCGAGUAUUGACCGUCCCCCAUUUGAGAUGUUGUAUGGUCGGAGGUGCAGGACCCCAAUAUGUUGGGGUGAAGUUGGCCAGAGAGUCAUGGGGAGCACCGAGGUGGUGCUCAAGACAACCGAUAGGAUCUAGCAGGUUCGGAGCAGGCUUUAGACUGCUCAGAGUCGACAGAAAAGUUACGCCGACAAGCGUCGAUCCGACUUGGAGUUCCAAGUCGGGGAUAUGGUUCUCCUGAAGGUGUCGCCUUGGAAGGGCGUCAUUCGAUUCAGGAAGCAGGGUAAGUUAGGCCCAAGGUAUAUUGGGCCAUUCAGGGUCGUAGCCCGGGUGGGCAAGGUGGCGUAUAGGCAGGAUCUGCCAGCCGAGCUCAGCCAAAUCCACAACAUUUUCCAUGUUUCUCAGCUGCGGAAGUGACUAGUAGACGAUUCAGCGGUAGUGCCGUUAGAGGAUAUACAGGUUGACGACAGCCUGAAUUACAUUGAGCGCCCAGUCACAAUCCUCGAUAGGAAGUCAAAGGAUUUGAGGAACAAGAAGGUGGAGCUAGUGAAGGUGCAAUGGCAGCACCGCAAGGGUUCAGAGUGGACUUAGGAGCCGGUGGAAGAGAUGAUGGAGCAUUACCCCGAGCUGUUUCAGGAUCGAGCAGCAGACUUCGAGGACGAAGUCUAAAAUAAGUGGGGGAGAUUUGUAGCACCUGGUUCCUGGUACGUAAACCUUAUUUGAGUAUUUUCCAUUUUUAGCCUUGGACUCGGCGAGUCAUAGGUCCGACUCGCCGAUUAGAGACGGGACCCAAGACAUGUUUAAUUUGGCGAAUCGGCGAGUCCAUAUUCUGUACUCGGCGAGUCACUGCUGUUUGAUGAAACCCUAAGUUUCAUGGGUUUGCACCCUAUUUAAUCUCUCAUUUCCGCCCCAAGCCAACCCCCAUUCACCCUCAGAGCCCUAUACCUCGUUCUAAGCCUUGAUUCUUGUGGAUUUGAAGCCUUUGGUGUUCUCUUGAAGCUUUGGAGUGAGAAGGAGAGGAGAUCAAGAAGGAGAAGAGGAGGUCAAGCAUCUUUGAGCUAUCUCAGAGUGUUCACUAAUGUAUGGCUCGUUUCCCCCAUGUUUUCAUGCUUAUGGCCCCAUUAAAGUACUUCUUGAACCAUUUCCAAGCUUGUGUUUACUUGAGGACUCGUAAUAAGCUGAGUAGCUCAUAGAUCUAAGUGGAAUCGAGCUCCAAGAGCCUGGAUCUACCACCUUUAUGGACCCAUGUUGCUUGUUCACCCUAGAUCUACCCUUUUGAGGCAUUUUGAGCCCUAAAUCCCUCAUUGGUGAGUAUCUACACGUAAAGUUGGAAACUUUACGUGUCAUUCAUGCUCUAGGAACCCAGAUCUGUGAAUGGCAUGGACUGGAAUCGAGCAAAAUCGCGUAUAUAGUGAUUGCAUGGCGACGACUCGGCGAGUCGUUCAUCUGACUCGGCGAGUCUGCUCGCGAGUCUCCGAGUUGUCCCCUUUUUGUUGUGUCGAGUGUGAGUAGUGAGUCACGGGGUGUGACUCAGUGAGUUGGAAGCCGAACUCAUCCAUGAAGGAACUCGGCGAGUCAUUGCCCUGACUCGGCGAGUUCAAGGCAAUCUCCUUAGAUCAAGAACAGACUCGACGAGUGGUUCAUACAACUCGGCGAGUCGCAGCAUAAGUGUUCAUCGGAUGAAGAUGAACUCGGCGAGUUGUUCAUACAACUCGGCGAGUAGGAUGAAGGACUUGAACCUCAGUUUAGAAGGAGAACUCGUCGAGUCAACGCCUAACUCGACGAGUAGGGGCGGGAUCCAGGAUAAUCGAUUGGAUAGAGAUUCGGCGAGUUGGAGAGCUAACUCGGCGAGUCGGGUCAACUAAAAGUUGACUCUGACUUUGACUUAUGACAUGAUCAGGGGUAAAAUGGUCAUUUUACACAAAGGACAGUUAGCAGUGAUUGAUUGAGUAUGUUGUGGGAAUUACAACCAGAGGAUUUCCGGAGUAGCAGCAGCAGCAGUAGACAGUCAGUUCCCGAUCAGACCAGCAGCUACUUCGAGGUGAGUUACCUUCCAGUAGCGGUGGAUCUACGGCUACAAUGCCAGCCCACCAGUAGGAGUUGUAUGUGGAUGAUUGUCUCCGUGAUAUUCAUCUAGGUUUACUACUACCUGUUCCAUGCUUAUGUGCUAUUAUGAUGUGAUGCUAUGUGUUAAUGGUAGUAGGGGAGAUAGUCCCCAAGUUAUCCGGUCGAUAAGGCUGAAGGGGUAGUUAUACCCAGCCAUGCUAGAUAGAUUCUGAUACUGUGGUACAUGUUAUGCGGUAGUAGUAGAGGGGAGAAGUCGUCUCCAGUACCCGGUCGAGAGGACCGAAGGGGAGGCCAGCACCCAGGUAUGCUAGGCAAUAUCCGGUCGAGAGGACCGAAGGGGUAGGUCGGGCACCCAGAUAUACCUGACGAUAGAUGUAUGUUAUGUGAUUAUUAUGGUAUGUGGUACAGUGGGGGAACUCACUAAGAUUUGUGCUUACGUUUUUUAGUUGUUGUUUCAGGUACCUCUUCAGCCAAGGGGAAGGAGCAGGCUCGGUAGCAGCAUAUCACACACACUUUUGUUUCCGCAGUUAUGCGUUUAUUCUGGGAUUGACACUCUGAUAUUUUGGUUGUUUAAAUGUUGUGGAUUUCAAUUUGGUUUUCGAUGUGAAUUGGUUUAAUUAUACAAUGUUUUAAUUAUUAAUGAUUUCCAUGUAAUGAUUUAUAAACAAAAUUUUUGGACGUGAAAAUUGGGUCGUUACACUAUCCCCCGACUAGGGUCCUGAUCUGAACCAACUGCUAUGAACAGUCGAUCACUACCCCGUUGGAGCUCAACCAAUCC
rnacentral:lncRNA from 1 species